rnacentral:rRNA from 1 species
UGGGGAAUAUUGCGCAAUGGGCGAAAGCCUGACGCAGCGACGCCGCGUGAGGGAUGACGGCCUUCGGGUUGUAAACCUCUUUCAGCAGGGAAGAAGCGAAAGUGACGGUACCUGCAGAAGAAGCACCGGCUAACUACGUG